GGAUGCGGUCAUACCAGCACUAACGCACCGGA
rnacentral:rRNA from 1 species